CACGUAGGGCGCAAGCGUUGUCCGGAAUUAUUGGGCGUAAAGAGCUCGUAGGCGGUCUGUUGCGUCCGCUGUGAAAACUCGGGGCUUAACCCCGAGCCUGCAGUGGAUACGAGCAGACUAGAGGUAGGUAGGGGAGAAUGGAAUUCCCGGUGUAGCGGUGAAAUGCGCAGAUAUCGGGAGGAACACCGGUGUCGAAGGCGGUUCUCUGGGCCUUACCUGACGCUGAGGAGCGAAAGCGUGGGGAGCGAACAGG
rnacentral:rRNA from 1 species